rnacentral:rRNA from 1 species
GAUGAAUGCUGGCGGCGUGCCUAAUACAUGCAAGUCGAGCGAAUGGAUUAAGAGCUUGCUCUUAUGAAGUUAGCGGCGGACGGGUGAGUAACACGUGGGUAACCUGCCCAUAAGACUGGGAUAACUCCGGGAAACCGGGGCUAAUACCGGAUAACAUUUUGAACCGCAUGGUUCGAAAUUGAAAGGCGGCUUCGGCUGUCACUUAUGGAUGGACCCGCGUCGCAUUAGCUAGUUGGUGAGGUAACGGCUCACCAAGGCAACGAUGCGUAGCCGACCUGGAAGGGUGAUCGGCCACACUGGGACUGGAACCCGGCCCAGACUCCUACGGGAGGCAGCAGUAGGGAAUCUUCCGCAAUGGACGAAAGUCUGACGGAGCAACGCCGCGUGGGUGAUGAAGGCUUUCGGGUCGUAAAACUCUGUUGUUAGGGAAGAACAAGUGCUAGUUGAAUAAGCUGACACCUUGACGGUACCUAACCAGAAAGCCACGGCUAACUACGUGCCAGCAGCCGCGGUAA